AUCCUAGUGCACGGGUUUUACACGUAUCAGUGAGGAGACAUCCGAGAUCGUGUUUUUGCUAGUUGAAAACUACCAAAAUGACCACUCUGUCUGGUCUUCGGAUCGGACAGGAAUUUUUGAACAAACAAGUU
rnacentral:snRNA from 1 species